rnacentral:rRNA from 1 species
AACGAACGCUGGCGGCAUGCCUAACACAUGCAAGUCGAACGAGACCUUCGGGUCUAGUGGCGCACGGGUGCGUAACGCGUGGGAACCUGCCCUUAGGUUCGGAAUAACUCCCCGAAAGGGGUGCUAAUACCGGAUAAUGUCUUCUGACCAAAGAUUUAUCGCCUUUGGAUGGGCCCGCGUUGGAUUAGCUAGUUGGUAGGGUAAAAGCCUACCAAGGCGACGAUCCAUAGCUGGUCUGAGAGGAUGAUCAGCCACACUGGAACUGGGACACGGCCCAGACGGCGAAGGGAGGGAGAAGGGGGGAAGAUUGGACAAGGGGCGAAAGAAGGAACCAGGCAUAACGGGUGGGGGAAGAAGGUGUGCGGGGUGUAAAGACCGGGGGGGGGGAAAGAAAAGCAGAAGGGAAAGACCCAGCUGUGCUGAAGGUACCAAAAGAAGAAGAAACGGCUAACGUAGUG